CCUACGGGGGGCUGCAGUGGGGAAUUUUGGACAAUGGGCGCAAGCCUGAUCCAGCCAUGCCGCGUGAGUGAAGAAGGCCUUCGGGUUGUAAAGCUCUUUCGGCCGGGAAGAAAUCGCAUGGGUUAAUACCCUGUGCGGAUGACGGUACCGGCAUAAGAAGCACCGGCUAACUACGUGCCAGCAGCCGCGGUAAUACGUAGGGUGCGAGCGUUAAUCGGAAUUACUGGGGGUAAAGCGUGAGCAAGGGGUUAAAUCCCCGGGCUCAACCUGGGAACUGCGCUUAUGACUGGCAAGCUAGAGUACGGCAGAGGGGGGUGGAAUUCCACGUGUAGCAGUGAAAUGCGUAGAGAUGUGGAGGAACACCAAUGGCGAAGGCAGCCCCCUGGGUCGAUACUGACGCUCAUGCACGAAAGCGUGGGUAGCAAACAGGAUUAGAUACCCUAGUAGUC
rnacentral:rRNA from 1 species